rnacentral:rRNA from 1 species
GACGAACGCUGGCGGCGUGCCUAAUACAUGCAAGUCGAGCGAAGUUUUUCUGGUGCUUGCACUAGAAAAACUUAGCGGCGAACGGGUGAGUAACACGUAAAGAACCUGCCUCAUAGACUGGGACAACUAUUGGAAACGAUAGCUAAUACCGGAUAACAGCAUUAACUGCAUGGUUGAUGUUUAAUAGUUGGUUUUGCUAACACUAUGAGAUGGUUUUGCGGUGCAUUAGCUAGUUGGUGGGGUAAAGGCCUACCAAGGCGACGAUGCAUAGCCGACCUGAGAGGGUGAUCGGCCACACUGGGACUGAGACACGGCCCAGACUCCUACGGGAGGCAGCAGUAGGGAAUCUUCCGCAAUGGGCGAAAGCCUGACGGAGCAACGCCGCGUGAGUGAAGAAGGAUUUCGGUUCGUAAAGCUCUGUUGUUAGGGAAGAAGGAUUGUGUAGUAACUAUACACAGUAGAGACGGUACCUAACCAGAAAGCCACGGCUAACUACGUG